rnacentral:RNase_P_RNA from 1 species
CCAGACGAUCGGAUGGCCGCCUUCGGCUCAGGCCGGGGGAGGAAAGUCCGGGCUCCACGGAAACACGGUGCCGGGUAACGCCCGGCGGGGGCGACCCCAGGGACAGUGCCACAGAAAGCAAACCGCCCGGCCCAGGCCGGGCAAGGGUGAAAGGGUGCGGUAAGAGCGCACCGCGCGCCCGGCAACGGGUGCGGCACGGUAAACCCCACCGGGAGCAAGACCGAAUAGGGGCGGGCGGGCUUCGGCCCACGGCAGUUUCCGGCCGCCGCCCGGGUUGGUUGCGCGAGGCGUCCGGCGACGGGCGUCCCAGAUGAAUGGUCAUCCCCCGGCCGGCAACGGACGGGGACAGAACCCGGCUUACAGAUCGUCUGGCCCC